rnacentral:rRNA from 1 species
GAUCCUGGCUCAGGAUAAACGCUGGCGGCGCACAUAAGACAUGCAAGUCGAACGGAAGUCGUUAUAAAAAGGAUUGAAGAUUUAUCUGAUUGAGAUUUUAUAACAAUGGCUUUAGUGGCGGACUGGUGAGUAACGCGUAAGCAAUCUGCCUGUUAGAGGGGAAUAACAAUGAGAAAUCAUUGCUAAUACCGCAUAUGCCAUAGUUAUCACAUGAUAAUAGUGGGAAAGGAG